CCUAUCCUAAACACCCCAUUGUCGGUGCACAUAGAGGAGAAGCCUCUCUAGUUUUCAUGUUUUCUCUAGAAUCUUCACCCCCAAAAAGAUAUCAAGUCACUGUCAAAUUACAGAGAGGGGGGAGGAAGACAUCUUUGAAUGAAAAUAAUAAAAGGAGGAGGAAUAUUGCAAUUUAUCUUCCCCUAUGAACCGUCGUCGCCUCUUCCCGUUGGUGCCGCAGUGACGCAUCACUGUUGCCGUUUGUCGCCUCAGCUCCAAUCUCAACAACAUCACAUUCUCUUGUUCUUCCACUUCUUGAUACUCACCUUCAGUUUUACAAUUAAAUAGGAGUUGGGGUGCUACAGUUGUGAUGCGAAUAAAUAAUCAAUGGGUAUUUGGAGUCCAAUAAGAGAGGGGGGAGGAAGACAUCUUUGAAUGAAAAUAAUAAAAGGAGGAGGAAUAUUGCAAUUUAUCUUCCCCUGUGAACCGUCGUCGCCUCUUCCCGUUGGUGCCGCAGUGACGCAUCACUGUUGCCGUUUGUCGCCUCAGCUCCAAUCUCAACAACAUCACAUUCUCUUGUUCUUCCACUUCUUGAUACUCACCUUCAGUUUUACAAUUAAAUGUAAGCAUUUUAUCAUUCUGUAAUUAAUAGUUUCAUAUGUUGAAAGUGAAUAAUUAAGUAGGAAACAAAUGGAAUUCUUGAUGGGUGGGUAGGAAAGUGCCGACUAUUCUCUUUAUUGGACUUAGUGCUUUGGUUUUAA